UUAUGGUAGGGCGUACACACGUCAUACAAUGGCCGGUACAAAGGGCAGCCAACCCGCACGGGGGAGCCAAUCCCGUAAAGCCGGUCGUAGUCCGGAUCGCAGUCUGCAACUCGACUGCGUGAAGUCGGAAUCGCUAGUAAUCGUGGAUCAGCAUGUCACGGUGAAUACGUUCCCGGGUCUU
rnacentral:rRNA from 1 species